CAUAUGAGUAUUUAAACAACUAGAAAACAAGAUGGAUCUCUAAAUAUGCAAACCAUAUCUUCCCUAAACCUGAUCUGACAGUUAUCAGAAACCCGCCCCUUUCGAAGACUUGGAGGUGGACUUUACAGAUAUACAACCAAAUAGAGGAUUCAGUUUCAGGUAUCACCCCAUGGGUCUAUCACUCCAGAGUUAAGAAGGCCAACUCAGGGGAAUCCACAACCUGGAGAAGUGAUCCAGAUCCAAUCCACCCGCUUAAACUGACCCUCAAAAAGACACUGGCCCCUGAGAUCUCCAGCCCUGCUCCAGCCACACCCCAGAAGCUGGCUGGCCUGUGCACGGCAGAAGCUUGAGGGAUCAUCGUGCGGACUGAGCCCAGGGGUUCGGAUGCAAUUCUGCCAGCCCUUGCCCCUUACUGGUGUCAUAGCCCUGAUCUUGCUUCUUGCUGUUGGACUGAUAGAGACGGCACCAACAAGCUGGACAAGGAACGGAUGGCAGACUCCCUGGUAACCUGACAAAGCCAAAUAAACUCCCUGGCAGCAGUGUCCCUCCAAAAUAGGUGAGCCCUCGAUCUCCUCACUUCAGAAAAAGGAGGGACUUGUAUCUUUCUGGGGGAGGAAUGUUGCUAUUUUGUAAGCCAAUCAGGAAUAGUCAGGACUAAGGUUAAAGAACUCAAGGAAAGAAUUCAACAUAGACAACAGGAAAGUAUCAGUCAAUGGAGAGGAUGGGAUCUCACAGACUGGGCAUCCUGGCUCUCUGCCCUGGCAGGGCCCCUCCUUUCCAUAAUUUUACUUGUGACCAUCGGCCCCUGUAUACUAAAUACCCUGACGUGCUAUCAAAAUCCACUACCUUGGGACUGCAUCAACUCCAUUCUGUGCCCUGAUUGUUGGUUAGGUUCAACAAUGAUCAUGCAUUGUUUCCUAGAAAGACUGGAACCAAACCCUCUUGCACAACCCAGCCCCCACACCAAAACACAACCACCAUGAGAAUUUCUGUAGCUGGCACCAUUGAGUCUGCAUGCAACCAAGAAGUGUUACAGGGGCACCUGGAUGGUUGAGUCCCACAAGCUUCCGACUUCGGCUCAAGUCAUGAUCUCAUGGUUCCUGAGUUCCAGCCCUAC